CAGAGUUUUCAGUUGGCUUCAAAGCUCUGUGCCGAGCUCAGUUGGGGGCCUUCAAAGCCCCCAGUCUGUCAGCAGGUUUACGCUCAGAGAAAGCUUCUUGUUCUUUAAGGAUUUGGCUCACAAAUAGCGCCCAGCCUGGGCCAAGGCAACUAGCUUUCACCCUGACAGGAUAGUCGACAGACUUCUGCAUGUUAGUGAUUUGUUUUGGGGUCUAUUCCUACUUCAACCUGACUGGCUUCUUGGAGCAUCGGUGGUGUUAUCAGCUCAUCAAAAACACCCUGCUGCAGUAACUGGCUGACCAGCUGAAUGACUGCAUACCUUGUCGAUGGAAAUAUUCUCAUCACUCACAGGACAUUCCUGUUACAGUGUUUGAUCCAGUGAUUUUCACCAAUAUUGGACCGAUACCAACACUGAGCAGCAGACAACAGAGUUGUGAUGACUGCAGAUGAGACAUUAGAAACAU